GUAGACUGGAUCAGAUGGGAUGGUGAUGCGUGUGGACAGAAGCAUUGGAUGGUAGCACAACAGGAUUUUUUUGCUAUUGCCAUAAUAUGGAAGGUGGUAGUGAUUUGUUAUGGAGUAGGAAAUAGACCAUCUAGCUACUAUCCAUCUACCACUGUUUUGUCGUUGAACAAUCGUGGACGCUUAGACAAGCAUAAUGCAGAGUUCGUGAUUGGAACUGUUGGUGGAUCGCAUUUCAUUCGUUUGCAUAUGGAUCGUGACCACCCACUUCCUCGAAUUUCACCAUUGUGGUUUAACGCUCAUUAGGAAAGUGUACACGGAUGGGAGGCAAGGUACAAGAGAAGGCUUCAAUUGUGGCAGACAUUAGUUAUCUCUUGUGUUUCGUUGAGUACUAUUAUGGAUUUUUAUUAAACUUUAUAUAAGUUUAUUAAUAAAAAUGAUUAUUUUUUUUUAAUUUUUUUUAAGCAAUUCACUAGUACAUAAUUGAGUUUAUGUAACACGUUUUAGUAACACUUUUUGAUAUGCAAAAUUAUUAGAUUUAUAAGUAACACUUUGGUAACAUUUUUUUAGAAUGUAACACUCAAUGUAACACUUUUAUCAUAAGUAACACUUUUGAAAUAGGUAACAUUUUAUGGUAACACUAAACUUCUUUUUUUUUUUUUGGAAAAAUAUGGUAACACUAAGUCACUAACCUAUUUCUAUAUCACCCCUAGUAACAAAUGACAUUUUUGUCCUUUCUUUUUCUUUUUUCUCUGUUUUGGUUUCAGUUUUCCCUUUUUACUUAAUGUCUUCUUCUCUCUCCUCUAAGGUGAGGCAAAACAAGCAGCGAAGGAAGAGGACGGAGCAGCUGGAGGACUCGCGUCACAGUAAAUAGCACCGGCGAGAUGGACCAUCAAAAGAGCGGUGUCAACUGCUGAAAACACGCCACUUUUAACAAUAGAAAGCUUGUGACGGCCAUAGCAAUGGGCCUGGUGAUCGAGGUAGAGAUCUCGCAUUUCGAGCAGAAAUCAACCAACAUCUUAAGGGAAUUGUUAUAGGUUUUUAAAAAAGGUUCGUCAAUGGCGUACAUAACCAUGGGUGGAGCAGAGUUGUCAGCAUUUGAGGUAGAAAUGAACCAGCCUUUUAGUCUCAUUAUCAGUUCUUUUUAAUCAACCAGGGAGUUCUUCAAUAGCUCACCUCCAACUCCUCUGAUUUAUUUCAGUACCUUUAUCUCUGAUAUUUAAAGAUUUAUUUUAUCGAAACCUGAAUUUCAAUCAUAUUAUAUUGAUUUAUUCUUUCUAAUUAUAUGAAGUAUGAUUUGUUGUUUAUUCUGAUCAAUAAAUUUUGAAAGUCAUUCAACACCCCCCCCCCAAUGUGGGUGAUCUUGAUUUUGAAUUAGUGAGAAUUUUGGGAGACAGUUGGUCAAUGUUUUAAUUAAAAUUAUUAGAUAAAUAUGGUUGGACAGAUUGUUGGGUUCAAAUUCAAUUUUGGAUUUUUUUUUUUUUUUUUUUUUUUUUUUUUUUUUUACUGAAGUUGUUUUUGGUUGGAUACAAGUAGUGAAGUAGACCAUGACAACUAUAAUGUUAGACUGUUUUGAUGCAAUUCGUGUAGAAUUCUCUGAUCUAAGUGCAAUUUCUUUUUUAGAAUAUAAUUAGAUUAAGCUAAGUCAAGUGAAACUGUUUUCAAGUGAAAAUGUUUCCUAGUGAAGAGGUCUUUAAGGGGAAUUAAGAUUAAUCAUCUGAAUGCAUUAGUACAUCUCAUAGGAUGCUCUUUGAGAGGUGACAGAACACUGAUAUAUCUUCCACUAGAUAGACUUUUGAAAAAUGUCAUAGAUAUUGGGAGUGACCUACUAAAAAUCCAAAGACAAACAAGUUACAUAUGCUAGAUAUCAUAGAAAUAAAUAGCAUUUAUCUCAUGAAAUUUGUAAAACCACAAAAAGAAACUUGAAAAUAGAUAACAUUAGGAGAGUGUAGCUGAAUAAGCUCAGCGAUAGCUUGCAUCCUCUUAUGCACCUCUAAGUUUUCUACGAACCACACAUUAUAUGUAAGGAUCUUUAUCACACCUGAAUUUCAGAAUUUUCAGCAAUUUCCUUGGAACUGAAUUGCUUGUUUUUGCCUUUCCAAGCCAUUUUUAGAAUCCAAUAAGCAAGAUACAAUAGAUCCCAAAAUGAAUUAUUUCUAUGAAGGACUUAAAUUAUAAGAACUAUAGAGAGCCUGAAUCUUACAACAAUGAAUAGGAACAACAAAUAAGUGACUGAUAAAUAAAAUAACUUUAGAAUAGAAGACAACAAAAUUUUAGCACUUUUAAAUGAAUCAAUAAUGUCCAUGGGAGUACUUGGUAAUCUCAAUUGUGUUGUUUCAGAAUUAGAUUAAAAAAAAUUGAUCGUGGACAUUAAAAAUUUUAAAGAAGAAAUUUAAAUGAGUUUCAAAACAUCCUACAAAAUUCACAGUAACCUUCAAUUGGGUGUUACUUAAGGUUAAUUACGUACUAGUGUCUUUUCUUUUUAGUUUACAUUUGAUUUUUCUAUAUAUCAUUCCCUUUUUUAUUCUUAGAUUUUGUGAUGUGAGUGCCCUGUGCUUUUUAGUCGAUUAGAGGUUCUAAACAUAUCAACAAACCGUUUGAGUGAUGCUUAUGGAAUUUACCUUGUCCACCAUAUUGUAUAACUGCAAAGGUGAAAAUUUUCUUUUUUUAUAUGUUCUGAUUUGGUUUUAGUAAUUCCAUGAAAUACUCAAAUCAAUUCUCUUGGUCUUACUAUGUAGGACUUUAUAGUCUGAACUCUGAAUAUUGAUCAAUGUUCGAUCAAGUCCAGAACAAUUCUUAGAUUUGCUGCAUCAUCUAUCAUGCUCAAGGGAUUGACAACUCAAUAUAUAGUUUGUAGCAGUUUCAAGGUACACUGCAUUCUUCUCUCUGUGAUUAUUGACUAUAAGCCUGGUAAAUUGUAAAUUUAACAUCUCAUAAUGAACUUCAGACUAGGACUUGGUUCUAAUACUCUCCCUUGUUUCCGGUGUGUAUUUAUAAGUGAAGUUAUGCUCGCCCAUGACAAUGACCUAGUUGUAUGUCUAAGUAUGCUAUUCAACAUUCAAUUUGAUGACAGUUGUUAGCACAUCACACAUGUCAGUUAUCAUUGGCAUAUCUUUUUACUUGUUUUAUAAGUCAUUAAGUAGCUUGCAUAUGAAAACAUAUACCUUAAGAACCACUCAUGAAGUCUACACUUCUAGUGAACAUGUGUAGCAAGUAUCAUCUCAGUCUGUUUCUAUUGAAGGCACAAACAGUACCACAAGUUUAUUUUUAAGAAGAGUUUUUUUUUUCUUCGCGUUAUUCAGAUCCAAACUUUAGAAUGAUCAGAGGAAAGGGUUGUUAUUAGCUGUAAUAUUGUCUAUUCUUCCAACUUAUAAGCUGUAGUAUUAAGCUGUUUCCUUUUAGCUGAAUUAAUGCAGAGAGAAGUAAAUUCUUGCCCACUUCUUCAUAGCAAGUAUAUGUCCUUAGGUUUUGAUGCUUGUUUGAUGCUACUGCUGCUGGUGUUGCCUGUUGUUGUUGGUCGGCUUAUGUGCUGCUGAUGUUCAGCUUCCGAGUUGCUGCUGUUCUGUUUCUGAGCUGCUGAUGUUCUGAUUUGAGCUGCUAUUGUUUUGCACAUUGUAAUUUUUUCUUUAUUUGUUGUAAUUGUAAUAUUACAAGCAUUUAUUAAUAAAAUUAUCUAUGUUUUAUA